rnacentral:rRNA from 1 species
CGCGUGUGUAGAAGAAGGCUUUCGGGUUGUAAAGCACUUUCAGCGAGGAAGAAGGCCUGACGGUUAAUACCUGUCAGGAUGGACAUCACUCGCAGAAGAAGCACCGGCUAACUCCGUGCCAGCAGCCGCGGUAAUACGGAGGGUGCAAGCGUUAAUCGGAAUUACUGGGCGUAAAGCGCGCGUAGGUGGCUUGAUAAGCCGGUUGUGAAAGCCCCGGGCUCAACCUGGGAACUGCAUCCGGAACUGUCAGGCUAGAGUGCAGGAGAGGAAGGUAGAAUUCCCGGUGUAGCGGUGAAAUGCGUAGAGAUCGGGAGGAAUACCAGUGGCGAAGGCGGCCUUCUGGACUGACACUGACACUGAGGUGCGAAAGCGUGGGUAGCAAACAGGAUUAGAUACCCUGGUAGUCCACGCCGUAAACGAUGUCGACUAGCCGUUGGGAGCCUCAAGUUCUUAGUGGCGCAGUUAACGCAAUAAGUCGACCGCCUGGGGAGUACGGCCGCAAGGUUAAAACUCAAAUGAAUUGACGGGGGCCCGCACAAGCGGUGGAGCAUGUGGUUUAAUUCGAUGCAACGCGAAGAACCUUACCUACUCUUGACAUCGUGCGAACUUUCCAGAGAUGGAUUGGUGCCUUCGGGAGCGCACAGACAGGUGCUGCAUGGCUGUCGUCAGCUCGUGUUGUGAAAUGUUGGGUUAAGUCCCGUAACGAGCGCAACCC